AUACUUACCUGACAGGGGUGGCACCAUGAUCACUUAUGGGAUCCUUUCAGGACGAGGCUCAUCCAAUUGCACUGCGGGUGUGUUGACUCCUCCGAUUUCCCCAAAUGCGGGAAACUCUACUGUAUAAAUAUUGACUUUAAGCUUCCUUGACUGCAGGAAUUCUUU